rnacentral:rRNA from 1 species
GACGAACGCUGGCGGCGUGCUUAACACAUGCAAGUCGAACGGCAAGGCCCUGCUUUUGUGGGGUGAUCGAGUGGCGAACGGGUGAGUAACACGUGAGUAACCGGCCCUUGACUUUGGGAUAACUUCAGGAAACUGGGGCUAAUACCGGAUAGGAGCUCCUGCAGCGUGGUGGGGGUUGGAAAGUUUCGGCGGUUGGGGAUGGACUCGCGGCUUAUCAGCUUGUUGGUGGGGUAGUGGCUUACCAAGGCUUUGGCGGGUAGCCGGCCUGAGAGGGUGACCGGCCACAUUGGGACUGAGAUACGGCCCAGACUCCUACGGGAGGCAGCAGUGGGGAAUAUUGCACAAUGGGCGGAAGCCUGAUGCAGCAACGCCGCGUGCGGGAUGACGGCCUUCGGGUUGUAAACCGCUUUCGCCUGUGACGAAGCGUGAGUGACGGUAAUGGGUAAAGAAGCACCGGCUAACUACGUG